GUUUUUUUUAGGGGAAAUGCAAGAGUGUGGAAAGGACAUUGGUAAAGAUGCAUAUUAACUGGAGGGGAAGGACAUGAUGGUGGGAUGAGAUAUAAGAGAGGGUGGUGGAUCCAGCCAAGAGUGCUCUGGCAAACAUCUUAAUCGGUACCCAUUGAAGUUUCCUUUGCUUUGUCUCUUUAUCAUUCUUUAUUAUUACUCAACACAACACAACCCACAACCCCUUUGUGUUGUGGUGUUGUUUCUCUGCAUGCCCAACAAGUGUCUCCACAUGGUUCACGUUGAAAUCUUCUUCUCCACCUCCCUUCGUUACUUACCUCUCUCCAACAACUGUCAUAAUCUUCUGCACCACCAGUAUCCAUCUAUCUAGCUUUUACCGCUUUAAUUAAAAGGGAAAUAAAUAAGGUUGUUGGGUGUAAAUUUGAGAUAGUUGUUGCACCACAAAAAUGAAAUCUUCUUCUCCACCUCCGUUCGUUACUUCCUUCAACAUUCCGCAAAAAGUUACCUCUAUUUUGACCUUUGUCUUCAUACUUUACAUACCUUUGUAACUGUGUUCCAUUUUUAUUUAGACUUUCCAGUUUACAUUCUGCUAAUUUUUAUAUCUAAUUUGUUGCAUUCUUUUAUUAUUAUUUUCACCAUCAUCCUCCAUUUCUGACUUCUUAACUAUGUUCUUAUUGCUCCUAGAGUCCUAGGCACUGAUUAUUUACAUAAACCGUGACUUAUCAUGAAUUUAUUUAAUUAUGGGUUCUUUUUCAUUUUUGAGUAUUAUAUGUGUAGUAUAAAUUAUUUUUUGGUUCUUUUUUUAAAUGACAAAAAGACUUUGUCCCUAGUUCUACUUCUUGACCAUGUUCUUUCCUUGCUGUAUUUGAGCUUUUAUACGUAGAUAAUGUUAUUCCUUCCCCCCGCUAAAUAGAGAUUACACAACUCCUAGAAUGACAAUGGACUGACAAGUUGCACUUGCAAGUCCUAGUUCAUACACAGUUAAGAGGAUUUUGUGCUUGGAAAUUCUAGUUGAUCCAUACCCCAACUUCCAUUUUGUUUUGUUGGAAGGUUUCUGAGACCUAGAGACAAUUCUCUUAGAAGCUUCUAGAGGUUGUCGUGUGUAUAUUAGAGGAAAGGUUCAAUGAAAAAUCCAGACAAGGAAGAAAAAAUUAAGAGGAAGACCAGGCAGCAUCCCAAUGAGCAAUCCCACAUUUUGAUUGAGGUUGAUUUACUUGCUAAUAUUGUUGACAUAAGGCUUUGGCAAGCUCAAGAAAUUAUAGAAUUGCUCAAACCUACGGUAAGUUCCUUCACACCAUGUCUUAAUAUUCUGUCCUGUGGGUUAUGUUGUGUGAAUUGACUGCUAUUGAGGGUUACUUUCAUCUCUGGUCAGUAUUAUUAAGUUUGUGAUCCCUAAAAGUGUAUACAUAUUUAAAAGCUUGAAACUUCCCUAGGAAAUAAAUGUAAACAAACGACUUAUGUGGCAUAUUUAAAAGUUAUUAUUUUUUAUACAAUAAGAAGCAAAUAUGGCAUACAUAUGAUGUGAUGUGAUGUGCGCACACAAGUGCGACCCAUUUGACUCAGUGAUAUUCAAGGCAUCGAUUACGAAGGGAACAUGUCCUGUAAAUCCUAUCGUGCGAGAACUGUAACACACACAUACACAUAGUCUCGAUAUAUUGUAGGCAUUAAUCAGAUAUUCGUGUCAAAAGUUAUAGCCGUUUAAAUUUGUUAGUGCUUAUGUGUCAAAUUUUCGUGUGUCUUGAUAUACAGACACAAUCUUGAUAUAUUAUAGGCAUCAAUCGGACAUCUGUGUCCAAAGUUAUAAUCGUUUGAAUUUGUUAACGUUUCCGUGUUAAAUUUUCGUGUGUUGAUAUAUUAUGUGGCACAAUCAAACAUUCUACUCAAAAGUUAUGACAAUUUUCAGCGUCUCGAAGUAUUAUAGGCUGCAAUUAAGUAUCCCAAUAAAAAGUUAUGACCAUUUGAAUUUAUCCGGAACUUCCGUGUUCAAUUUUAGGCUUCUCGGUAUAUUAUGAAUCUCAAUUGGACACCUGAGUCAAAAGUUAUGACAAUUUGAAUUUACUUAGAGUUUCUGAGUUCAAUUUCGAGUGUCUUGAUAUAUUAUGAGCAUCAAUCAGACAUCCGAGUCAAAAGUUAUGACCAUCUAAAUUUGCUCGGAGUUUAUGUGUUCAAUUUCUAGCAUCAUAAUAUAUUAUGAGCCUUAAUAGGACAUCCGAAUCAAA